rnacentral:rRNA from 1 species
GACGAACGCUGGCGGCGUGCUUAACACAUGCAAGUCGAACGGUGAAGCGCCUUCCUUUUUGGCGGGUGUGGAUGAGUGGCGAACGGGUGAGUAACACGUGAGUAACCUGCCCCCUUCUUCUGGAUAACCGCAUGAAAGUGUGGCUAAUACGGGAUAUUCUGGGUCUGUCGCAUGAUGGGUCUGGGAAAGAUAUUGUUUCGGUGGGGGAUGGUCUCGCGGCCUAUCAGCUUGUUGGUGGGGUGAUGGCCUACCAAGGCGGUGACGAGUAGCCGGCCUGAGAGGAUGAGCGGUACUAGAGGGGAGGAGACACGGCCCAGACUCCGACGGGAGGCAGCAGGGGGGAAUAUUGCACAAGGGGAGCAAGGCUGAUGCAGCGACGCGGCGGGAGGGAUGGAGGCCGUCGGGUUGUGAACCUCUUUCGCGAGAGAAGCAGGCCUGCCUCGUUUGUGGGUGGGUUGACGGUAGCUGGAGAAGAAGCGCCGGCUAACUACGUG